rnacentral:rRNA from 1 species
GACGAACGCUGGCGGCGUGCUUAACACAUGCAAGUCGAACGGAAAGACCCUGCUUUUGUUGGGUUCUCGAGUGGCGCACGGGUGAGUAACACGUGAGUAACCUGCCCUUGACUUUGGGAUAACUUCAGGAAACUGGGGCUCAUACCGGAUAGGAGCUCCUGCUGCAUGGUGGGCGUUGGAAAGUUUCGGCGGUUGGGGAUGUACUCGCGGCUUAUCAGCUUGUUUGUGGGGUAGUGGUUUACCAAGUCUUUGACGGAUAGCCGGCAUGAGAGGUGUGCCGGCGACAAGGCGACUGAGGGAGGCAGCAGACGGGUACGGGAGGCAAUAGUGGGGAAUAUGACACAGUGGGGCGGAGCGUGAGGCAGAGGCGCUGGGAGCGGAAUGACGGGUUUUGGGGGAAGAACCGAUGUGGCCUGAGACGAAGAGUGAGUGACGGUACCGGGUAAAGAAGCAACGGCUAACUACGUG